UCGGGAAUUUUGGGCAAUGGGCGAAAGCCUGACCCAGCAACGCCGCGUGAAGGAUGAAGUAUUUCGGUAUGUAAACUUCGAAAGAAUAGGAAGAAUAAAUGACGGUACUAUUUAUAAGGUCCGGCUAACUACGUGCCAGCAGCCGCGGUAAUACGUAGGGACCAAGCGUUGUUCGGAUUUACUGGGCGUAAAGGGCGCGUAGGCGGCAAUUCAAGUCAUCUGUGAAAUCUCCGGGCUUAACUCGGAACGGUCAGAUGAUACUGCUUUGCUAGAGUGCAGAAGGGGCAAUCGGAAUUCUUGGUGUAGCGGUGAAAUGCGUAGAUAUCUGGAGGAACACCGGUGGCGAAGGCGGCAUCCUGGACCAAUACUGACGCUGAGGCACGAAAGCUAGGGUAGCGAACGGGAUUAGAUACCCUCGUAGUCCCUGAGCGGGCUGGCAAGGCGCAU
rnacentral:rRNA from 1 species